rnacentral:rRNA from 1 species
UGGGGAAUAUUGGGCAAUGGGCGAAAGCCUGACCCAGCAACGCCGCGUGAAGGAUGAAGUAUUUCGGUAUGUAAACUUCGAAAGAAUAGGAAGAAUAAAUGACGGUACUAUUUAUAAGGUCCGGCUAACUACGUGCCAGCAGCCGCGGUAAUACGUAGGGACCAAGCGUUGUUCGGAUUUACUGGGCGUAAAGGGCGCGUAGGCGGCAAUUCAAGUCAUCUGUGAAAUCUCCGGGCUUAACUCGGAACGGUCAGAUGAUACUGCUUUGCUAGAGUGCAGAAGGGGCAAUCGGAAUUCUUGGUGUAGCGGUGAAAUGCGUAGAUAUCAAGAGGAACACCUGAGGUGAAGACGGGUUGCUGGGCUGACACUGACGCUGAGGCGCGAAAGCUAGGGUAGCAAACGGGAUUAGAUACCCAAGUAGUCCCUGAG